GAACGGCGUCUCCACAGGAUGGUGGGGGGCACACCACCACAACCAAUGCGUCUGCCACCAUUACGACAAACGAGAUGAAGACAACUCAGAUGACGCUGAGCCCAUGCCAGCUUCAAUGAAGAUCAAGAAGAGCCGCGUUUCCCGGGGAUGGUGGGGACACGACCAUCACUGCCACUGCGGCCACUAAGGAAAUGAACACACAUCAGAUGGCAAGCGUAACUAUACCGACAAUAUCCAUGAGUAAUGUUGCCGCGAGGGAU